rnacentral:rRNA from 1 species
UUGAGAGUUUGAUCCUGGCUCAGAACGAACGCUGGCGGCAGGCCUAACACAUGCAAGUCGAGCGAGACCUUCGGGUCUAGCGGCGGACGGGUUAGUAACGCGUGGGAACGUACCCUUUUCUAAGGAAUAGCCACUGGAAACGGUGAGUAAUGCCUUAUACGCCCUUCGGGGGAAAGAUUUAUCGGAGAAGGAUCGGCCCGCGUUAGAUUAGAUAGUUGGUGGGGUAAUGGCCUACCAAGUCUACGAUCUAUAGCUGGUUUGAGAGGAUGAUCAGCAACACUGGGACUGAGACACGGCCC